GACGGGAGGAUGCAAGUGUUAUCCGGAAUCACUGGGCGUAAAGCGUCUGUAGGUGGUCAAAUAAGUCAACUGUUAAAUCUUGAGGCUCAACCUCAAAAUCGCAGUCGAAACUAUUCGACUAGAGUAUAGUAGGGGUAAAGGGAAUUUCCAGUGGAGCGGUGGAAAUGCGUAGAGAUUGGAAAGAACACCGAUGGCGAAGGCACUUUACUGGGCUAUUACUAACACUGAGAGACGAAAGCUAGGGUAGCAAAUGGG
rnacentral:rRNA from 1 species